ACGCUGGCGGCGUGCUUAAUACAUGCAAGUCAACUUGACUUUAGAUAGCAAUAUCGAAAGUAGGGUGGCGCACGGGUGCGUAACGCGUAGGUAAUCUGCCCUGAGGUCUGACAUAACCCGUCGAAAGGCGGGCUAACAUCAGAUGAUAUAUAGUCACGACAUCGUGGAAAUAUCAAAUCUUCGGAGCCUUGGGAUGAGCCUGCGUCUGAUUAGGUAGUUGGCGGAGUAAUAGCCCACCAAGCCUACGAUCAGUAGCUGGUCUGAGAGGAUGAUCAGCCACACUGGAACUGAGACACGGUCCAGACUCCUACGGGAGGCAGCAGUAAGGAAUAUUGCUCAAUGGGGGAAACCCUGAAGCAGCAACGCCGCGUGAAGGACGAAAUACUUUUGUAUGUAAACUUCUGUAAGAUGGGAAAAAUAUUCUCCUCGGGAGAAUUGAUUGUACCAUCAGAGUAAGCCCCGGCUAACUACGUG
rnacentral:rRNA from 1 species